GGAUAACAUUUGAACGUGGCUGUCUUUGAUAGGACAACCGUUAGAACAUUCUUAUUUCAAUAUUAACCUAGUACGUAACCAAACUCGGCGUACAAAUAAGACACGCUUUCCCUUCUCUCUCGACACAACUUUUCUGUUACCUUUGAUCGACGAGAAAGGUAGUGAACGAAGAAGAAGAUGAGUCAACCUCCAAUUGGUGUUCCUCCUCCUCAAGGUUACCCUCCGGCUCCAGGAUAUCCUCAGCAAGGUUAUCCUCCGCCGCAGGGAUAUCCUCAGCAAGGAUAUCCUCCUCCUCAGCAACAACAAGGAAAGUCGGGUCCUGGUAUGAUUGAAGGAUGUCUAGCUGCUAUGUGCUGUUGCUGUGUCUUGGAGGCUUGCUUCUGAGUUGGAAUCUUGAAGCUGCGAAGUUAGAUUGGAUCUGGAUUGUUUGUUGGUUUAUUUUAAUUGAUCACAUCUUAUUAUUAUAUAUUUCUCUUUCGUUAUAUAUUAUAUGAUAUAUAAAUAUGUUUGUUCAUCUGGAUCAUGAAUUAGUGUUGAAGACUUGAUAUCUUAUGUUUUAUUACUUUA